GCGAUAGCCUCAGUAACGGCGAGUGAAGCGGCUACAGCUCAAAUUUGAAAUCUGGCCUCCUUUGGGGGUCCGAGUUGUAAUUUGCAGAGGAUGCUUUGGCAUUGGCGGCGGUCUAAGUUCCUUGGAACAGGACAUCGCAGAGGGUGAGAAUCCCGUACGUGGGCGCCUGCCUUUGCCGUGUAAAGCUCCUUCGACGAGUCGAGUUGUUUGGGAAUGCAGCUCUAAAUGGGAGGUAAAUUUCUCCUAAAGCUAAAUACCGGCCAGAGACCGAUAGCGCACAAGUAGAGUGAUCGAAAGAUGAAAAGUACUUUGGAAAGAGAGUCAAAUAGCACGUGAAAUUGUUGAAAGGGAAGCGCUUGCAGCCAGACUUGCCCGCAGUUGCUCACCUAGGCUUUCGCCUGGGGCACUCUUCUGCGGGCAGGCCAGCAUCAGUUUGGGCGGUCGGAUAAAGGCCUCUGUCAUGUACCACCCCUCGGGGUGGCCUUAUAGGGGAGGCGUAAUGCGACCAGCCCGGACUGAGGUCCGCGCAUCUGCUAGGAUGCUGGCGUAAUGGCUGUAAGCGGCCCGUCUUGAAACACGGACCAAGGAGUCUAACAUCUAUGCGAGUGUUUGGGUGUCAAGCCCGGGCGCGCAAUGAAAGUGAACGGAGGUGGGAACCCUUCGGGGUGCACCAUCGACCGAUCCUGAAGUCUUCGGAUGGAUUUGAGUAAGAGCAUAGCUGUUGGGACCCGAAAGAUGGUGAACUAUGCUUGAAUAGGGUGAAGCCAGAGGAAACUCUGGUGGAGGCUCGCAGCGGUUCUGACGUGCAAAUCGAUCGUCAAAUUUGGGCAUAGGGGCGAAAGACUAAUCGAACCAUCUAGUAGCUGG
rnacentral:rRNA from 1 species